AUUGGACGCUGGCGGCAGGCCUAACACAUGCAAGUCGAGCGGCAGCGGGAAAGUAGCUUGCUACUUUUGCCGGCGAGCGGCGGACGGGUGAGUAACGCCUGGGGAUCUGCCCAGUCGAGGGGGAUAACUACUAGAAACGGUAGCUAAUACCGCAUACGCCCUACGGGGGAAAGCAGGGGACCUUCGGGCCUUGCGCGAUUGGAUGAACCCAGGUGGGAUUAGCUAGUUGGUGAGGUAAUGGCUCACCAAGGCGACGAUCCCUAGCUGGUCUGAGAGGAUGAUCAGCCACACUGGAACUGAGACACGGUCCAGACUCCUACGGGAGGCAGCAGUGGGGAAUAUUGCACAAUGGGGGAAACCCUGAUGCAGCCAUGCCGCGUGUGUGAAGAAGGCCUUCGGGUUGUAAAGCACUUUCAGCGAGGAGGAAAGGUUGGUAGCUAAUAACUGCCAGCUGUGACGUUACUCGCAGAAGAAGCACCGGCUAACUCCGUGCCAGCCGCCGCCGUAAGAC
rnacentral:rRNA from 1 species